rnacentral:rRNA from 1 species
AUGGCACACCUUCUCUUCCAAUGCAGGUUCUCCCAGCGUGUCUGGAUCGAGGUUGCAGCGCGGCUUGGUCUACAGGGUGAUGUGGUGAGGAGCUGGCAAAAUGAGGCUUCAGUUCGAGAAUGGUGGAUUAAAAAUGUGAUUGAUCGUGGAGAUAAGAGAAAGGCUCUCGCCUCCUUGUUCAUGCUUAUGUCUUGGGAGAUUUGGAAAGAGUGCAAUGCAAGGGUUUUUCAUAACACCGCCGCAACGACAAUGAUGCUCGUCGCGAAGAUCAAAGAGGAGGCCCAUCUUUGGGCUAUUGCCAGUGCCACCCACUUGAGUACUGUAUUGCCGCGAGAGUAG